UACCAGCACCCCGAGUGGUCGGGGCGAUUAUUGGGCCUAAAGCAUCCGUAGCCGGUCAUGCAAGUCUUCCGUUAAAUCCAGCCGCUCAACGGUUGGGCUGCGGAGGAUACUACGUGGCUAGGAGGCGGGAGAGGCAAGCGGUACUCAGUGGGUAGGGGUAAAAUCCGUUGAUCCAUUGAAGACCACCAGUGGCGAAGGCGGCUUGCCAGAAUGCGCUCGACGGUGAGGGAUGAAAGCUGGGGGAGCAAACCGG
rnacentral:rRNA from 1 species